ACCUGUUGCGGGCGGCAGCGAGAGGGUGCCCGCAACACCAGACAGAACACCGUGCCACGGGAACAUCGGGGCACUUCAGGGCGUU
rfam:Streptomyces sp. WM6386 contig5.1, whole genome shotgun sequence.